rnacentral:rRNA from 1 species
GUACUAGAGUAUGUAGUGAUGGAGGGACGCAGUAGGCUAACUAAAGCAGACGAUUGGAAGAGUCUGUCUAAGCAGUGAGGUGUGAUAUGAGUCAAAUGCUUAUAUCUAUAACAUUGAGCUGUGAUGGGGAGCGAAGUUUAGUAGCGAAGUUAGUGACGUCACACUGCCAAGAAAAGCUUCUAGCGUUCAAACAUACUCUACCCGUACCGCAAACCGACACAGGUAGUCGAGGCGAGUAGCCUCAGGUGAGCGAGAGAACUCUCGUUAAGGAACUCGGCAAAAUGACCCCGUAACUUCGGGAGAAGGGGUGCUGACUUUAAGUCAGCCGCAGUGAAUAGGCCCAAGCAACUGUUUAUCAAAAACACAGCUCUCUGCU